GGACACAGGAUGGUGUAACAGUCAAGAACGUGGCCUUGGGAAUCAACCGACCCCAGAUCAAGUCUGGUAGCUUCUACUUCCUGGGUAGCCUUGGGCAAGUGACUUCAUUUCCCUACAACUCAGCUUUCUUAUUUGUAAAAUCGGGAAAAUAGCGGAACAUAUCUCAUAAGGGCUGGAAACUCUGUGACAGCAGCUACUCUCCAGUCUUGCUCACGGGUGGAUCCCGGGGUCUGGCCUCUUCCGGACGGGACGUGUCACUGCGGAGGAAGCAGCCCAGGGUCCCUUGCCUUCCAUCUUCUGCCAAAGUUGGAGCCUCAAAUCCCUGACUCAGAAACGAUAACCCCAGAGGCUCCUUCCCUCGCUGCCCUUGCCGAAAACACAGCAAAUGAAAUAAAUGAAGUAAGUCAAAGC